GGGGUGUAGCUCAGUGGUAGAGCACUUGCUUAAUAUGUAGGAGCCUUGGGUUCAAUCCCCAGUACUAUCCA
rnacentral:tRNA from 1 species